rnacentral:rRNA from 1 species
AGAGUUUGAUCAUGGCUCAGAUUGAACGCUGGCGGUAGGCUUAACACAUGCAAGUCGUGCGAGAAAGUAUCUUCGGAUAUUAGUAGAGCGGCGGACGGGUGAGUAACGCGUAGGAAUCUACCUAGUAGAAGGGGAUAGCCCGGGGAAACCCGGAUUAAUACCGUAUACCUCCUUCGGGAGAAAGAAGGCCUCUCUUUGAAGCUUUCGCUACUAGAUGAGCCUGCGUAAGAUUAGCUAGUUGGUGAGGUAAUGGCUCACCAAGGCUACGAUCUUUAGCUGGUCUGAGAGGACGAUCAGCCACAUUGGGACUGAGACACGGCCCAGACUCCUACGGGAGGCAGCAGUGGGGAAUAUUGGACAAUGGGCGCAAGCCUGAUCCAGCCAUACCGCGUGUGUGAAGAAGGCCUUCGGGUUGUAAAGCACUUUAAGCAGGGAGAAAAAGUUAUAGGUUAAUACCCUAUGACCUUGAUGUUACCUGCAGAAUAAGCACCGGCUAAUUCCGUGCCAGCCGCCGCGGUAAUA